UACGGAGGGUGCAAACGUUGCUCGGAAUCAUUGGGCGUAAAGCGCACGUAGGCGGCCUGUUAAGUCGGGUGUGAAAGCCCUCGGCUCAACCGAGGAAGUGCAUUCGAAACUGGCAGGCUUGAGUAUGGAAGAGGGUCGCGGAAUUCCCGGUGUAGAGGUGAAAUUCGUAGAUAUUCGCAAGAACACCAGUGGCGAAGGCGGCUCACCGGCCCGAUACUGACGCUGAGGUGCGAAAGCGUGGGGAGCAAACAGG
rnacentral:rRNA from 1 species